GUAGCGGAAGGACACCAUUCUUUCUACCACAGUUUUGCCCCUUACUUUGUCUGCUACCGUAUCCAAAGCUUUUUAAAUAUUUCAAGUCUACAAUAAAAGCAUAUUUAAAAAAUAAAUACAAUAAAGUAUUAGCAAGCAUAUUAUGUAUACCCAUGGUCUACUGUAGUAGAAGGUAGUCCUUGAAAAGGGAACACAAAACACAAGAAUGACCUAUGAUGGUACUUUAGGACUGGAGGCCAUCGGCAAAGAACACACUUUUUAAGGAAGUUCUGAGCCACAUAAUUCUCCAAAAUCAUAAUUCUGACCCCACAUCUAUGGAAAUGGCUCUGACAUGGACAAAGGAUCUAACGUCUUUGUGGGCUACAAGAUCACCUCUGCUUCAGGCUGGAAUGCUCUUCUCCACAGAAUCCAGGAACUGACAUAUGUAAACACCCACCCAGAAGGACACAUCCAAGAGGGAAUGGAAAGAAAAAUGAUGGUCCAGAUGUCCUGUAACUUGCAAUGACUGCCAAAUCACCAUGGACCCAAAGCACCUGGGAGGCUGUGUCAGGCCUUACUUCCUGGUUUCAGACAGUCAGGGACCUGUGACUGGGUGGUGACUGUGACAGCCUGCAGACUAGACGGGAGAGAACCCGUUAGAAGGGCACCAGCUGACAGGACUUGGGGGCUGAACACACAGAGCUUGAUUUAUCACUUCCUUACUCAUAAAAAUGUGAUUCAAAGUGCU
rnacentral:lncRNA from 1 species